CUAAUUUCGAUCUCCAGAUCUUGGUGUACUUGGAGGCGCCGUUCAUGUACUGCAAGAACACGCCGGGGACCGGCGAACCGACAAACGCACAGUUUUCAGGACACAUUAAAGACGUGCUUGAUGAUCUGUCACGAAAUCUCGGGUUUGAGUACAAGCUGUCACUCGUGCCUGAUAGCAAAUACGGCAGCCGACUGGCCAACGGUUCGUGGAACGGGUUAAUAGGCGAAAUCAUC